UACGUUCCAAUAACCUAUCGACGGGCAGCAGUUCCUAUCGGAUUUAUCUAUCCAUCGUCGGGAGGACGGAUAGCCUGCUAAAGAUAGAACGCUCAUACAAAUCGUGCUUACUUCCGUUUCAAUAUGAGUUUUAAGUAACUCUCCGGUAGGCGGCGCUAUCUCUAGUAUGGGCAUUCGCUUAUCUGUCAAAAUCGGCCGGUUACAUGUUUAUCUUUCGAAAGUAAAUCGCUAUAAUUUAAUAAUUGUUUCUCUUCAUAUUGGCAUAUUGUAGCAGUGAUGAUAGUGAUAUGGAAUUAUUUCAAAUGAUAAUGGAUUGUGAUGCAGAUAGUGAUAGUGAGGCCGAUAUCAUAUGGUUAGGAAAAUAAAGAUCGUCUGAAUUACAUGGCGAAGAUCAAUAAUUACGAAUUUGACUAUAGAUUUCUGAGCAAAGGUGUUGUGAAUGAAUUGAUUAAUUUAAUGAGACCAUAUUUGAGUGUAACGUCAAAAAGAUUCAAAUAUAGGAGAAGAAUUUAGAAAUAGAAAAAGAGUAUUUUGAAUGUGUAAUUUGUGUGCAAUGCAUCAUUGAUGUUUCAAAAUGUUGUUGGUUGAUGGCCUGGGUCUACUCAUGAUACAACUAUAAUUAACCAUUCCGAUUGAAAAGAUGCAUUGGUGUUUGUAAAAGAAGACUCCCUGUAUAUCAUUGAAAAGUAGAUUAAAACUAGAAAAUAUGCAAGCUGUUAUUAUAGCUGCCAUGCUGCAUAAUACCGUCAGAAGUAUGAAUUUAGAAGAAUUAGAAUCAGAAAUUUCAGUCGCAGAUACAUUACAGGAAAAUAAUAUAAUUGUUCGUAACAAUUUUUCAAAACUUACAUCUGAAAUACAACUAUGUACUUAUAAAUAAUUGCUUCCAAAGAUAAUUUAUAAAAUAAACUCCAAAGAUAA